rnacentral:lncRNA from 1 species
ACAAUGCGCUAAAUAUUACAGCAAGUAGCCUGCUGGGAUUUGGACAAUCAUUUAUUUUCAAUUAAAAUUCACAGUAAAGUUUGAAAAUAUGAUCCUGUACUUCCACCAAUUUAAGCAUGAUUUCUGACAUAAGUGGCACAUUUGAAGGAAACCAAAGCAAAACUGGAAUUUUCAUUGUUUACAAUGUACCUCCUGGAUACGAAAUAAGCCUGAGAUUGUAGUAAGUCUUUACAAGAUGGACAUCUUUACAAGAUGGAUCAUUUUUCUCUAUUUUUCUCUAUUUUCUCUAUCAUUUUUCUCUAUUUUCUCGAUUUCAUUUUUUCUCUAUUUUUAUUUAUCAUAAAAACAAUAUUACUGCACGAAGGGAAAAGGUUAAAUUGACCCACAAAUCCGCCACCCUCCCAUCUUCUCUGCGGAUGCUUCAGAUCUUUAUCCACAAAUAUAACUUUUACGUGGUUAUAACUGGCGUAUUUACACAAUUUGGGGGAAAACCACUAUUUAAAUACUCAUGUCCAGGACUAUAGGCAGACUCCUCUUUUAGGAAAUCACCCAGUGUAACACCUACACUAUGCCUCGCAAUCCCCAAAUACCCAAGAGCUUAGAACUUGAUGACGAAACCGCAACUGCCUCUCUUGCCUUCUCCACCUGAGUACAUGAACUAAAGAUGAGGCUCACCUUAGCCUGGGUUCAUCUGCUCUAAAACGGGGAUGCGAGGCAUCUAGGCUGCUGGGGCCUUGGCUGUUUGGCGCGUCGUCUGUGUACGGUCUCGCUAAAACCUUCAAAUCACACGUCUGACAGCCCCAUACUAACCUAAGCAGCAGCCACAGUGGCUCUUUAUCAUUGCACUCUCCUUGAACUUGUCUGAGAGGCAAGGUAGCUCAUACAAGCAGCAGGCAAGGGGAAUCUGCAGCUACGUACACUUCACCCCUCCGCAGCACGGUUUAGGUGGGUAGGUUCUGCGAUCGCAGAAAACCAGCCUGGGCCCAUGAGAUGACCAGCGUGUGAUGCUGGGCCAACCCUUUUGCCCUCUGCCGGUUAACACCACUGGAAAACGUGAAAUGGAUAUUUGCCUUCUGUCUCUUUGAGGAUAUGAUGGCAAAACCAAAAUACAACGGAAGAAAAUCCUCAGGUAAAAACCAGGUACUAGAUUUCUUAAAUAAGAGAACUCGCCUUAAUCAACUCACAGUGAUUAGGGCACACAACUCAUUACUAACCUGCACACUAAAAGGUCUCUGUCUCGUUCCGAUGAACAGUUAUAAAUGGGUUCACCCUUCCAGUAAUGCUCCAAGAACCCAUCGGGAAAGCAUGCGGAACCCGUUUCACUUAGUGACACACUGACAUCUAGUGGAGAUUUAUGGCGCGCUGUGGGACUGCACACCCCAGAACAGCUGCAGAGUUCGGCCGCCCGAGAGGAGCAGAGGCUCCUUGUUGGUCUUUAUCCACAGCAGCAAGAAUAGAUACAAAUGGACUUUAAAAGAAAAGUCCACUUCUCGUAUGUUUGGAUUUUUGCUUGUUACCCACCUGAAAACACUGGCCAAAGUCGCAAGAUGCUGAAAUGACGCGGGAUGAUGAUACGAGGGGGUGGCAAAGAGCUGGUUAGCUUUGCAGUUGUGAGACAGGUAUCCCCAAAACCCUGC